rnacentral:rRNA from 1 species
UACGUAGGUGGCAAGCGUUGUCCGGAAUUAUUGGGCGUAAAGCGCGCGCAGGCGGUCCUUUAAGUCUGAUGUGAAAGCCCACGGCUCAACCGUGGAGGGUCAUUGGAAACUGGGGGACUUGAGUGCAGGAGAGAAGAGUGGAAUUCCACGUGUAGCGGUGAAAUGCGUAGAUAUCGGGAGGAACACCGGUGGCGAAGGCGGCGACCUGGGUCGAGACUGACGCUGAGGCGCGAAAGCGUGGGGAGCAAACAGG